CGAUUCCGCUCCAGACACCGGAGGCGGGAGUGAAGCUCUUUACCGCGCUUAGUUACAGUCCAGGUUGAGGGACAUCAGUUUUCCAGUUUUUCUGGAGGAAUGCAAAGCCUUCUUUCCUUAAGACAAAUGAGCCUUUGCUUAGGGAGCAACUUUUGAAGUCAAUGAUGAUGCCAGAUUUGGAAGAAUUCUAGAGGCACGUGUUUGGGGAGCAGCGCGGAUGAGAGCCAUAUUGGAUCAACAGACGGACACUGGAACAAAACUGACCUCGUUCAACUGUUUGUGCAGUUCUUCUAAUGGAAUUAUCACUUCAAUUUUCAUGUGUCCAAAAGGGAACUUGGAAUCCAAAGUGGAUGAAGUUAAUGAAGAAGAACAAUCAUUUGAGGACUAGUGCGGAUAUUAGGAGGGAAGAGCCGUGACCCUCCUAGAAGUUCAAGUAUGUGGUCAGGACCAUAUUAAUUCCAUCUCUGGACUAUCAGGCUUCUGCAGAAUCAGGCUGCUAUAAGUUCUAUAAGCCAGACUUUGGACAUGGAUCUCACUGGAUUAAAACUGAAUCGUUGGCAGGCCUGUGUUCCUUUCUGAAGGCUCUGAGGGAGAAUCUAUUUCCCACUCAUUUGGGUUGUUGGCAGAUACAGCUACUUGAAGUUGUAGGAUCAAGAUUCUCAUUUUCUUGCUGGUGGUAAACUGAGGACUGCUCUGUUUCUGGAGGCCACUACAUUCCUUGGCUUGUAACCAUCUUCCACUAUCUUCAAAAUCAGCAACCAGCGAUCUGACUCUCUCAACAUGCUUAUAUUCACAUUGUGCUGGAAUUCCUGCUCUUCUUCUGACAAAUUGUUGGCUCUUGUGGUGAGCUCCUCUCUCCAUCAUGUGAAGUGCCUCCAGCCAGCAGAAGUCUUCUCCUCUAUAAGCACCUCAAAUACCUGGAUCCUACUUUUGGUAAGUAGUCUGAGGUGCAUACUGCCCAACAUCUGUCUCCUAGAGUCAAAUUCAAGACAGAAGAGGUACUAUAUAUGAAUCAAGGAGCAUCUGCCUUGUGAUAACCAGGAUGGCCUUUGUGACUCACUUCUACCAAAUAAAAUGCUUGGUCAUAAAAAGCAAUACGGCUUCUACCUGAUUCUCCCUCUUCUUCUCUUGGUGCACGUGCUUUGGAACCCUGAGCCACCGUAUUAAAUGUGCAGCUAAUCUGAGCCACGAUGCUGAAGAGACCUUGUGGAGUAAUCACGUUCGGUUAGAGGUGCUCUGCUCUAGCUGUCUCAGCUCCCAGCUCUUUGAGUUGUCCCACCUGACUGCAGCCUCAUGAGAAACCUCAAGCCAGAACCAUCCAGCCAAACUGCUCCUGAACUCCAGAACCAUAGAAAUCAACCUGCUUUAAAAGGGUAAAUGCGAACUUGCCUGCUUGAAAAAUGGGAGAGGGUGUUCCAAUCAGAGGGAACAGUGCGUGCAAAAGAAUAGGGGCAUGUAGAGACCUGGAACAUCCAGGGAUCAGUGGCAAGUUCAGCACCGCGCAUGUGGAGGAAGUGUGCAUGGAGACGGGAGAUGAGCCUGGAAAGAAAGAGGUGAGAGGCAGUGCUGUGGCGAUUUCUGUGGUGUAAAUGCUCCCUUCUGGUUUCCAGGUGUCAGUGAUUAAAGAACUGGCUCACAAACUUCCUAAAUAUUCAGUAAUUGGUUCUUGUGAACUGCUUUUCAGCUAGUUCCAGCAAAUGACUGACAAGAGGCCAAAUCCUUUAAUUCCAAGAGAUGUCCGCAGCCUUGAGUGAGUAGGAGUAGGCUGUGGGACCCAGGGCAAAGGUCACAACAACACGCCUGUGUAGGAGGUAAACAGUAGAAGUACGCAUGCGCUAGUGGUGGUAUGUACGCCUCAUGAACAAAGCAACGAACAAUUGCGCAUGUGCGGGCAGAACAGGCGCAAGCAAGACAAGUGCGCCGCGCGGUGGGCGCCAUCUUGUUGUGCUAGAAUGGAGUGUUGUUUCUCUCCGUGUCGGCUCCUCGCGCAGUUUGUUUCGUGGUAUGGCAGCUCCUAGCGCAUUUUUCCGGUUGGGAAGCUCACAUUCUCGAAUCCCUCUCCAGCCCCCCUCGGCUGACAGGUGUGCUGAAGCAAUUUUUCGCCCUUCACGUUGUGAAGUCGGCUCCUGUGGGUUCGGAGGAGAGGGGCUGAUGAUACGCGUGACGGACAUGAAAACUCCCGGGAGCUAAUUCCCAGCCUCCCAUCACCGACCAGUAGUGCCCUUAAACCAAGGCAAGAGGGACCACUGUUUGAGUUCCCACGUUUACGGGGCCUGGUUCUGAACCUUUGUGGACAUAGCCUUCCUCCACAGAAGGCGGACUCCGUGGCGCCGCGCCCACCAGGAGCCUGCCUCCCCCACUUCUACUCAGACAACUCCGGAGGUCUGGGACCCUGGAAUUCUCUCUGCAAAUGGAGCCUUCUCUGAAACCACCGUCCCUGAGAGUAUGCGGCUGAUGCCAAGGGCUGGCCAGUGGGGUACUGCUUACCACGAGAACGGACAGAGUCUGGAUGUGGGGCGCUGGGGUGUUCACACACAUGCAUGUGUGACUCCUCACACUGGACCCACACCCCUACAGCUAGGAGUGGGAAGUGAAAUGAAGAGGGUAGUUCUUGAACCAGGCAAAUGCUACACGUUGCCCAGUUUUGGUGAACUUUGAGGAGUCCAAGAAUUCGAAGUGCAACCCUGGCCGCCUAGGUCAUUCUGAAGACAUACUGUUAAGGCACUUACUCCUGGAGGCUACACGUGGCCAAGACCUAAAUGUGUGCCACCCGAGAGCUUCGUGGGAAGCUUCGCUUCUGUCUCCAAUCCCUCUGGCUUCCCAGCAAGGAUGGAAUCUGUUGCCAGAGAGCACAGACCAAAAGCUGGGCUGAUAGGAGUGAGUGGAUGGAUGCCUGGCCCUCUCUACAGACUGCCUGGACCAGCAAGACACCCAGAGGACAUGAAGAGCAAUUUCAGGAGACAAUAUAAUUACAUUUCAGCAAGAUCUUCUUUGCUGCCUUCACCUGCUACGAGCCUGUACAACACAUUUAAUAAAACAUGACUAAACACCUUGUUGGUCAGCGGGGAAUGCCUGUCAUCACCUGGGAGCAGUGUGAACGAAUCACACAGGCGCUACCUCUAGGAACAUACAGAUAAGUUUGCUGCUUUCAAGACAGAGGUGAUAACUGAACAAUGGUGUAAGUAUACUAAAUGCACACCUCGAAAAGGAAUCAAACACUUACUAUGUGCCUGACGCUGUUCUAAGAACUUUAUAUUUGUUAACUCCAUUUAAUCCUCCCAAACUCUAUGAAGUAGAUACAAUUAUUUUCUCUGUUUUAUAUGCGAGGAACCAGAGGUGUGGACAGGGUGAGUAACUUCUCCAGGUUACAGAGUCAAUAUGUGGUAAGGCUGGGAUUUGACCCUCUGACCUUGGAGCUUUUGCUCUCUGUUGCUACCUUAUGCCUGUAGGUGCCUUUGGUCCCUGAUGCCCUUGCCCUCUGCCCUCCCUGCCCAGUUCACAGCAAUUUAUUUCUCCCCUGUGUUCCUCAAUGGGUACCUUUACUGGGCCACUCUCAAGCUCUGAGUCCCCAGCCUUCUGCCACCUACCUCCCCCAUCCCUCUCUGAAAGUCUUUCUACCUGUUUCAUGAGUCUUUUCCGGGACUGAAAGGAAUGCCAAAGUAUCACUGAAACGACCACCAAAAAAUCAUGUCCCUUUAACACAAAGCUCAAAUGAUUACUAGAAAUACAUCGAUAAGAAAUAGUUUAUAAAAAAUGAAAAAGUACUCAUUAAUACAAAUACUUAUUUUUAGAGAAAUCAGUGCUUAAAGAGACCACUGCCCCCAGUGCAAUUUCCCGUACCUACAAGAGGCAAUAAAUAAACAUGUAUUGAGUGACUGAACGAAUGAAGUCCACUCGGGACUGUGGAAUUUCAACAGAGGUUUCUGGAAACUUAACACUUGGAUGUUUUUGUUGGAUUGCUUUAAGAAGAUGCUUUUCUGAAAGAAAGACCAUUUUGUCAGAAUAUAUAUAAUCUAAUGUUUCCACGUGUUAUAAAGCCCUCCACUGAGGGUUGUCUAACAAGUCUGUUCAGGCUACUGCCACUCACCUGCCAAAGAAGACCAUGCCUGUUCUCUUUUAUGUGCCUGUCUUUCACAAGUUUUUAAAAAAAUAACAAACAUUUGUGAUACCAAGAGAAGAGUUAAUCUUUCUUCAGUAUCAAGGUUGGAGAAGGCAGAAUAGCUAAUUUGCUUUCUUGACUUCCGUGGAGGUUUUAUUACUUCAGUGUUCUAUAAAAAAUGUACUUCCAUUUCAUGUUGACAUGCCAUUUUAUGAACUGUUAAUAGAAAUUAUUGACUCACAAAUUGAGGGAAAAACUAAGACUAAUAUAUUAUUUAUUAUGUUCUAGCCAAGUGCUGAAUGCCGAGGAGAAUUUAACAGUAUCUACAGCUUUGUUGUUUUAAUAUUCAGUUUAUUUAUUUUGUAAUCAUAUCUUAGAUUUAAAAAGCUGUUUUAGGCUCACUGGGUUUUAUUCAUUAAAUAGAAAUUGUCCGUCUCAAACUGUUUUCAAACAGUAAAGGUAAGAAUUUAUUAACAAUGGUAUAAUUAAUAUAAGGAAGAGGCUGACUGACUCCAUUAUAAAAGCAGGGUUCUGGUACCUUUACCCCAUAGCUGCUUUGGGAUUAGCCUAUCACAGAAAUAGCCCUGCUGUUGUUACCUUGCAUCAAAAUAUAAAGUUAUUCUGUUCUGGUAUUGCAGAAAAAUGCACUGCUUUCAGCAAUAAACCUUGCAUUUCAGGAACCUCACAGGUCAAGUUUUUCUCAGCAAACUGUAACUUGUACAGUGAAUGUCCUGAUUUCUAAAAGAAAUGAAUUCAGUUUUCCCACCUUACCUUCCACUCUAAGAAACCCACCCUCUAGCCACCUGCCUGUGCUGCCUUCACAGUACGCCUUGGCUGUCCCAUCACUGACCCUGUGCCCGGCAGCUCCUGUUCAAAUCCUCUGUGUCCACCCACCCACUUGUAACCCACAGUAUCCAUAAUCCUGCUGACUCGUCCAGACCCAGAUCAAAUCCCACCUCCAGUAUGAGUCUUCCAAGCCAGAAGCAGCGUUUCCCUGUUCAGAUAUCGACACUGACACUGAUCGUCCCUAUGCCUUCAGGUUGCUUCUCUUAGACGUGCCCUUCCCUGGUUUAUGUGGGUCUCCAUGUCUCCCUCCCCUGCCAGACUGGGGCCUCCUGGACAUGGAGACUCUGGAGACAGUCAGCAAUUUGAUCUUUUGUAUUGUAUAUACAUUUGGAAGCUGCCCUCAAUCACAUGACAAAUGAACUGUGGCAUAAAUAUAUCAUGCUUAUGACAGGGUUAUGAAAUAAAGAUGUGUGGACAUAUUAUGUAUGGCCUAUAAGAGCAAUUGCAUUAUUGUGUAGUGACACUUCCUACUCUGUAAAACCCAGAGCAUCUAUGCACAUAAAUGCAGUUGAUAAAUACAUUGUAACAAAGGAGAUGAAAAAAAGGAAAUGGCAAGUAUGUAAUAUAGUAAAAGAAAUUUGAAAUAGACAAAAAUAUCUUUAAAAUAUAUACAGUAUAUAGUGAAGAUCUGAUUACCUAUAAACCUGGACAAAUAAAAUCAACUGACAAUGAGAAACUAAGUGCUGGCUAUAGGUUUCCAUCAUCUGUUGAACUAAACAUUUCCGUACAAGUAUUUAUUUCUAGGUCACAAGUUGCUUAUUUGAACUUACUUCC